rnacentral:rRNA from 1 species
ACGUAGGGCGCAAGCGUUGUCCGGAAUUAUUGGGCGUAAAGGGCGCGUAGGCGGCCACGCACGUCCGUUGUGAAAUCGCCCGGCUCAACUGGGCGGGGUCAGCGGAUACGGUGUGGCUCGAGCAAGCUAGGGGGCAAUGGAAUUCCCGGUGUAGUGGUGGAAUGCGUAGAUAUCGGGAGGAACACCAGUGGCGAAGGCGGUUGCCUGGAGCUUUGCUGACGCUGAGGCGCGAAAGCGUGGGGAGCGAUCCGG